GGAUUGUUGCUCAGUGGUAGAGCACUUGCCUAGCACGUGUGAGGCCCUGGGUUCGAUCCUCAGCACCA
rnacentral:tRNA from 1 species